CACAUGCAAGUCGAGGGCAGCACAAGGAGCAAUCUGAGGUGGCGACCGGCGCACGGGUGAGUAACACGUAUGCAACCUGCCUGUAAGCGGGGAAGUAACCCGUUGAAAGACGGACUAAUACCGCAUAAUACUAAAUUACUGCAUGGUAAUUUAUUUAAACAUUUAUGGCUUACAGAUGGGCAUGCGCAUGAUUAGCUAGUUGGAGAGGUAACGGCUCCCCAAGGCAACGAUCAUUAGGGGUUCUGAGAGGAAGGUCCCCACACUGGUACUGAGACACGGACCAGACUCCUACGGGAGGCAGCAGUGAGGAAUAUUGGUCAAUGGACGAGAGUCUGAACCAGCCAAGUCGCGUGCAGGAAGAAUGUCCUUAAUGGAUUGUAAACUGCUUUUGCAGGGGAAUAAAGUGCAUCACGUGUGAUGUUUUGUAUGUACUCUGCGAAUAAGGAUCGGCUAACUCCGUGCCAGCCGCUGC
rnacentral:rRNA from 1 species